ACUGCCACACUACCCUCAACGCACCCAAUCUCAUCUAAUCUUGGAAGCUAAGCAGGGUCAGGCCUGCUUAGUACUUGGAUUGGAGAACACCUGAGCUCAAAUUC
rnacentral:rRNA from 1 species